UUGCUAGUAAUCGCGGAUCAGCAUGCCGCGGUGAAUACGUUCCCGGGCCUUGUACACACCGCCCGUCACACCAUGGGAGUUUGUAACACCCGAAGUCAGUAUCCUAACCGCGAAGGGGGGAGCUGCCGAAGGUGGGAUAAGCGACUGGGGUGAAGUCGUAACAAGGUAGC
rnacentral:rRNA from 1 species